AUUGAACGCUGGCGGCAGGCCUAACACAUGCAAGUCGAGCGGAUGAAGGGAGCUUGCUCCUGGAUUCAGCGCCGGACGGGUGAGUAAUCCCUAGGAAUCUGCCUGGUAGUGGGGGAUAACGUCCGGAAACGGCCGCUAAUACCGCAUACGUCCUGAGGAAGAAAGUGGGGGAUCUUCGGACCUCACGCUAUCAGAUGAGCCUAGGUCGGAUUAGCUAGUUGGUGGGGUAAAGGCCUACCAAGGCGACGAUCCGUAACUGGUCUGAGAGGAUGAUCAGUCACACUGGAACUGAGACACGGUCCAGACUCCUACGGGAGGCAGCAGUGGGGAAUAUUGGACAAUGGGCGAAAGCCUGAUCCAGCCAUGCCGCGUGUGUGAAGAAGGUCUUCGGAUUGUAAAGCACUUUAAGUUGGGAGGAAGGGCAGUAAGUUAAUACCUUGCUGUUUUGACGUUACCAACAGAAUAAGCACCGGCUAACUUCGUG
rnacentral:rRNA from 1 species